rnacentral:lncRNA from 1 species
GCCGCGCCGUGAUUGGCAGCGCGCCCCUCGGCUCGCCGCGGCCCCGCCGCACGACUAUUGGGCGGUGGAACCGUCACUCCGAGCGCCGCUCCGCCUCCCCUGCGCUGCUAUUGGUCAGCGCGCCUGUCACUCGGCGCGCCGCCCCGCCUCCCGCUCGCUGAUAUUCACCACCGCGCCCGUCACUCCCCGCCAGGCCCCGCCCCCCGCCAGCAUCCAUUGGCCGCCGCGCCUGCCCGUCACGGCGGCGGACCCGCCCCCGCGCCGCCGCCGGUUCAUCCGCCGCCCGCCGCCGGCGCUACCUGCGCGGAGAGCGGCUCCGGCGCGGGCCCGUCCGCCGCGGUCUGGCCGCCCCUCCGAGCCGCCGCCGCUCCGCGCUCCGCCCGCCAAAACCGCCCGCAGCGCGCAGGCGCCGCCGGCCGCGCUCCGCGCAUGCGUCCGCCCGCCUUUCCCCCCCUCUCCCCAAAGCCAACCGCGAUGGGCGCAUGCGCUGCCGCGGCCGCACCUUGGGGCCGGCGGGCGGGCGGCCCCUGCUCGCCGCCGCCGCCGGGAGUCGCCGCCGCCGCCUCGCUCUGCGCCCGCCGCGCCGCGCUCGCCGAGCUGCGCUGGGCCCGCCGCCGCCAGCGCUGAUGGACGGCCGCGCCCGCCAAUGGGCACCGUCCCCCCUCUUUCCCAGCCAAUGAGCGCCUGGCGAGGGGCGGGCCCUGCUUCGCUCCAACCAAUCAGCGGCGCGCCGGGGAGUCUCCGGGCCGGAGCGGGAAAAGCGGCGCGGGGCGUGUCGGCAGCGAUUCCCCCCAAUCCCCGCGGCGCGAGGGCGGGACGUUUCUCCCUUCAGCCAAUCAGCGGCAGCGCGGGGGGCGGAGCGCGGCGAGGCAGCCAAUGGGGCGGCGGCGCUGUGCGGCGGCAGCCAAUGGGCGGCGGCGCGGGGGCCGCGCGGGCGGCGGGGGCGGCGGGGUGAGGCGGCGGCGCUCGCGGCGCUCGGCCCCUUUCCGUGUCGGCCCUCGCAGAGGGAGCAUCGCGCGCCGCCGC